CGUCCCAUUGAAAUCAGUGGGGAUAUGCAUCUACUCAUCUUUACAAUCUGGAGCUGUUUGGAAGUGGGGCACUAUUAGUACCUCUCGUGUGGAGUUUUAUUUUUUCCCUCCAGUUUCCUUGCCUCUUGCAACAUUUUUAUAUGGCCUUCACUCCCUAUAAAGUAGGGAGUAUGGUAGCAAUACUGUAACUGUUUCAGCUAUACACUGUUACACAUGAUUUGAACAAAGUGAUUGUGUGAGAGGGACAUUCAUAGAGUGGAAGAGAUGGAGCAUGAGCUGGAACUUUUUUAUUGGGAUUUAUUUUCAGAAGUAUUUCUCUUUAAUGACUGCUGUACUGUAAAUGAUUUCUGAAGGUAGUCUGUUCGUCCUGAAAUCCUGUUCUGUCCCCUUUGUUGUGGAAGUUUUCAGCUUUUCUGAGAAAGAUGCUAGAAGAAAAACUCUACCCAGAAAAGUGUUGUUUUGUUGACAAUCCUGCAACAGCACAGGGCACAGCAGCAGCUGGAAUCAGUGUGAGCGCUUAGGUGGGGGAAAGCAUCCUCAAUGCAAUUCCAGGUAACUCAGAUUCUGGUAUUCAUGCUAUCUUGCUGUGUUUCUCUAGUGGUGACCAUUACUAGUACAGUUUAUGCUGAAUGUCCUCAAAACCACCUGUGAAACUUUUGAAAUAAGGCAAACAAAGGAAAGAUGAAACAUAAAGAUUUUUUUUUUUUCUUCUUUUAAACCUUGAUACAUUUUUCUUCUUAUAAAUCUUGGUACAGAUUCAUUUAGAAUAAGCGUUAAGGUAAACAAGAUCCAUGAAGUAAUUUGAUUGUUUACAACAUCUUUCAGACCACCUGAUGUGCUAUUAAACUUUUAUCGCAAUUAAAAUCACCAUCCAAAUGAGAAAUGCAAUACUGAUGUUAAUUUACCUUGUUUACUUAAGACCGAAAACUGCACUUAGUGGGUGCUUAAGAAGGAAAAUACCUGAGGAAAAUACCUGAAGACAUUAAUUUCAUAAGCUGUCAGUUGGGAA
rnacentral:lncRNA from 1 species